GAAAUGGAACAGUCCAACUGAGUCUAGGGGUAGAUGUGCUGUACAUGUUUUAUCGCACAUUAAGGUCACAGGAAAUGGAACAGUCCAACUGAGUCUAGGGGUAGAUGUGCUGUACAUGUUUUAUCGCACAUUUAGGUCACAGGAAAUGGAACAGUCCAACUGAGUCUAGG